GAUGAACGCUGGCGGCGUGCCUAAUACAUGCAAGUCGAACGCGCCGAGAAGGGAACUUGUUCCUUUCAACGCAAGUGGCGAACGGGUGAGUAACACGUGGGAAACCUACCCUUCAGCGGGGGAUAACCAUCGGAAACGAUGACUAAUACCGCAUAGUUGUUCCAGUCGCAUGACUGGAAUGGGAAAGACGGCUUCGGCUGUCACUGAAGGAUGGUCCCGCGGUGCAUUAGCUAGACGGUGGGGUAACGGCCUACCGUGGCUUUGAUGCAUAGCCGACCUGAGAGGGUGAUCGGCCACAUUGGGACUGAGACACGGCCCAAACUCCUACGGGAGGCAGCAGUAGGGAAUCUUCCGCAAUGGACGCAAGUCUGACGGAGCAACGCCGCGUGUGUGAAGAAGGUCUUCGGAUCGUAAAGCACUGUUAUCAGAGAAGAAUAGCCUAUAGAGUAACUGGUAUAGGUUUGACGGUAACUGAUCAGAAAGCCACGGCUAACUACG
rnacentral:rRNA from 1 species